ensembl:sRNA
ACAGAGCCAACGCGAGGGGCCCUGAGGAAGGGUCUGGGGGGUGGGGGUGUGUUCGACCCCCAAACAAAGAAGGGGGG